GCCCCCAUCGUCUAGCGGCCUAGGACGCAUGGUUCUCAGCCAUGUAGCAGGGGUUCAAAUCCCCUUGGGGGUGCCA
rnacentral:tRNA from 1 species